ACGCACGCUGGCGGCGUGCUUAACACAUGCAAGUCGAACGGAAAGGCCCUGCUUUUGUGGGGUGCUCGAGUGGCGAACGGGUGAGUAACACGUGAGUAACCUGCCCUUGACUUUGGGAUAACUUCAGGAAACUGGGGCUAAUACCGGGUAGGAGCUCCUGCUGCAUGGUGGGGGUUGGAAAGUUUCGGCGGUUGGGGAUGGACUCGCGGCUUAUCAGCUUGUUGGUGGGGUAGUGGCUUACCAAGGCUUUGACGGGUAGCCGGCCUGAGAGGGUGACCGGCCACAUUGGGACUGAGAUACGGCCCAGACUCCUACGGGAGGCAGCAGUGGGGAAUAUUGCACAAUGGGCGGAAGCCUGAUGCAGCAACGCCGCGUGCGGGAUGACGGCCUUCGGGUUGUAAACCGCUUUCGCCUGUGACGAAGCGUGAGUGACGGUAAUGGGUAAAGAAGCACCGGCUAACUACGUG
rnacentral:rRNA from 1 species